rnacentral:tRNA from 1 species
UGUUCCUGUAGCGCACUGGAUAGCGCGUUGGACUUCUAAUCCAAAGGUCAUGGGUUCGAAUCCCACCCAGGAUAG